GGGCUUUUGGCACAGUUGGUAGCGCGCAUGCUUCGCAUGGUGAUCCAGUGUCACAUGAUUGCAUGAGGUCGUGGGUUCAACUCCCACAGAGUCCA
rfam:Hydnomerulius pinastri MD-312 unplaced genomic scaffold scaffold_11, whole genome shotgun sequence.